rnacentral:rRNA from 1 species
GCCUAUACAAGCAUAUGCAAAAGUUGCUGCGUUUGAAAAGCUCAUAGUUGGAUCUGUCAUAUGGAUGGGAUGUGACUACGUCGUAGCUGAAACAGGCCUAUGUUCGUAGCCUUGUCUGUAUUUCUGUCCGUUGUGAUAGUUUGCACUUAAUUGUGUCGAACUUUUUGCACGGAUCGCUCACCUGAAUAAAAUAGAGUGCU